UCUCAAUCCAUCGUGUGGUUUCAACAAAUCAUGUUAUUCUACCUUUGAUAAUGCUUGCAAAUUACAAUUUAUGAACUGUAAUCUUAGGGUAUCCGACAAGCCAAGAUUUAAGCUGAUUUCAAGCGGGCCAUGUAAACCUUCUCAACAGCCAGCCUGUACCUGAAUUCCAAUAAUAUUUUGCAUGUGUAACUGAGCUCUGAUGCUCAACAGCUAUUAAUAAUAAAUAAUAAACAUACAUAUGUAAAAAAGUUA